UUGUCCUAUGAUCACUGGUCAGCCAGAAGCAGCUCCUGUGUAAUAAGGAGAUUUGGGUAUAGUUGGUUUGGUCAGGAGUGAUGGGAGAACUCUGUAUGAGAAAGCAUCUGUGGAAGUCUGAGAGUGAACCUCAGUUUCCUCUGUCUGCAAUAGAGUCCAAAAGAAAGCUCAGUGCGGUGAUUCCACAAAGCCAGCACACAUCCUCCAGACAAAGCUGAGAGCAGAAGUACAAAGACUAUUUUUAAGACUUCAGUUGUCAUCACCAUCACACGUGCUUGACACCAGGUGCAAUUUGCUGCAUCUCACCAAGUUGCCCAGAGCACUUCUUGGAACCUCGGCACUGAUUCAGCUGAGUUAAUUCCUGAGUGUAACCUGUUGACACCCACUGACGAUGCUUUCCCCAGUGUUGCUGCCUGACCCUGUUCUACGUACCUCACUGCUGAACACCCAACCAGCCAUGUGUGGUCCUGAGCUGAGAGGUGUGACCAUAAGGUAUCAAAUGCAGACAAAUAAAGCUCUGUUUGAGACUGUGGAUGACAUGAAGUAUGUGUAUAUAUAUAUGAAUAUAUAUGAGUUUUUUAGAGCAUUGCCUUGGUGAACUUGCCCAGAGAUUAGCUUGAUCUCGAUCUUUUUGUCUCCCCAGUCCGUGUCCACUUUGCAGGUUGGGCCAUGCCUUGCCUUUGGAGCUGUGGCUCACAUACAUUUUCAGGUUCAUCCAUUUGACAUAAAAGCACGUUUAAUACAGCCAGCAAGGAAACCAAAGGUAGAGACAGGUUUUGUAAUUAUGAAGUAGCUUUUCUCUCUAUGGUGCUUGAGAUACAAGAUGAUAGGAUUGUGCAGUCAUAAAAAAGGAAUAGCUUUUCAAAAUCAGCUGUGUGAUGACUAGAAAAUAAUCAUUUUUUUACAAUAAAUAAAUCAAAAAUCAUGUUUACAGCUCCUGGAGUUAAGAAAUAACAGCUGACAAAGGAAAUAAAAUCUUGAUAGUAACAUAUAACGGUGAAAGAAACCACUUUUCAGUUGACCUACUCUAAAAGUCAUUAAGUAGCAAUGUGCUGACAACACAGGAAAAAUAACCUUGCAGAGACUUUUAUUGGCUUUCCUACUGAGCAUCACGUAAUGUCAGAGCCGGUGUAGGAAUUUAAGGCAGCAGUCAUACAGCAUGUCCUCAAUUAUUUCAUAUCGCCAUUAGAUGGGCAGUUUUUGUUGAUCAGUUCAUAGAAUGCCAAACUCAGUGUUCAGCUCAAAAUCUCAGUGCCAGUUGCUUUCCUAAUGAAAAUUGAUCCUACUGGUGGUUUAAGAUCAAGCCCAUGGCCAUUCUCCCGAGGUAACAAGAUUUUUGAUAUUAAUAGCAGGCACUACAAACUAAAGGCUUUCCUCCCAUAUGCAUUUACUGAAAUUGCCUAUUCUUAAACAUGCUAUAAAACGAGGUGGGUGCUGUAAGCACAAUGUGGCUGGAAGCAGGGAUGUGAGGAGAUGAUGCAUGGAAAUCUCCCCUGUACUUCCUGCAGUUGUUUUCUUUGGUCUCAAGGCCACCCAGCCCUCCGUGCUCCCACUGGGCAGCUCAGCACAGGGCUGCACAGCCCUUGGGCUCCCAGUGGUUUUCUCCAUUGAGAGAAAUAACCCAGAUUGCCUGAUUGGUGUGGAUUUGUAUUUUUUUUCAAAAACUGAAAGUCAUUUUUCCUGUAGGAAUGAGCAAAAAAAAAUCUCUUUGGUAUGUCUUAAGUGAAUCUGUCUGAGUCACAACUUGUUCUGCAAUAAACCUACUUGUCUCCUCUCUUCAGUUUUAUAGCUAUUGUUUAAGAAUACAGCCAGGACGGUUCUGUCAGGUGAUAUGAAGCUGUUGGAGAGCAAGAAGAGCACUUUAUUUAAAGAUAAUAAUUUAGAAAGUUUCCUCACGUGUUGUUUUCUUUUCAAAUAUAACUUGAAAUAUGCUCGCAACUGUUGGGUUUGUUUUCUUUAAAGGCAGAAAAGAAUCAUUUGAAAAAGUUAAGAUUAUUCCAGCUGCACCCACCCAAAAAAAAAAAGGGGUUUAUGGAGCAGCUGGACUCUUCUCACGUCCAGGUUCAUUAGCUUGGGGUGAUCUCUGAGCUCUUGCUGAUGGCAUGCUAACUGACAUGCUGCACAGCAAGCUGAUUUAGCUGUUAUGCAUUCCUUGCAACUUUCAUUAUCUUCAGAUCUGGGCAUGCAGUGAACAAAGGCACGCAGGUAAAGACAGACCGUUUUGCUGGAGAAAAUUCUUUAAUCUGCUUUAGCAUGUGAAAGCCCCCGUGAGCACUUGGCACAUCACAAGGAUGUCAGUAAUAACGGAACGCCUGCCUGCAGUAAAUGGAGAAUUAAACCCCUGCAAUCCACUCGCUCUCCAUGACACACGCCCCAGUAUUUUGUAAUUGCAGCGCAAAUUGCUUUCCGAGGAGAUCGUGUUCAGCUCUCAGUUUCUGCAGUGACACUCCUGAAGAGAUAACCGGCGCAUCCCGAAGAAGCUUCAGCUUGCAUCUGGGUGACAGAUAAGAAAUUUCAUCGGACAGGUUUCCCUCGUGAUAGACAGAAGUAAUAUCUCCGGCAGCAGGAGUGCUCAACCAUGCAUGCAAGCCUGGUGGAGACCUGAGCACGGACAGUGCUAAGAAACGAGACAGGGCACAGGGUGCUGAUGCUGGUUGCAAACAUAUACAAAACUGACUCUGCUCUGAUGUCUGUGUGAUGGUGAAGAGUUGAAAUGUUGCACUUCAGUGAUUCUCCAGACCAUGCCUGUAUUGGGGAAUAAAUUCAGCACUGUUCCGGUGGAAGGAGAAAGGAGCAACAAAGAGAGGAACUCUCCUGCUGACAGCAGGCAGCUGUCAUGAAGAAAAUCCAACUCUCCCCUCCCAGACUCCCAUGAAAAGAAUAGAGGGCGAUGCGGCCGCUGGAACGGAGCUCUGAAGUACUGCUGCAACGUGGAGAUGGGAAUAUGCCAUCAGCUCUACUACCUCGCUCCACAGAGGGACGCAAUGAAGGAAACCAACCAGUCUGGAGGAUGUGGAACCACUGGGGAACCUCUCCCAGCCUUCUUUCAACUGAAAAAAGUAGAGAAGGAGCACACAGUUCUGGUCAUGGCUUUGGGCUGAGGGGGGACAUUGUGGCUCUUGGCUGGCAUGCACAAUUAAUUCCUUCCCAAAGAAAAGCAUUCUGUGUUGAGAAAUCCCCCGUUCAGACCCAACGUCUGGGAGCAAUAUUGUGAGCGUUGAAUCACACAUUGGUUUUGCUUCUCUUUAUUUUUUUUUCUGUAGCAAUUAAGUUUCCAUUAAAUGGAAGAGGAAAAUGCUAUGUACAAAAUUGAGAUAGAGCACAAAGUCAAGGGUAACAUCAAUUUGUGUACAGUCUUCCAGGAACUCUCAGAAAUUGCCCAUGUGCUAUGGAUAUCCAGAUUCUGUCUCAUUUCUCUUAGUUCCUAGUAAUGUGAUGAUGAGAAAAAAUCAUAAUGUGGUUUUCCAAGAGGCUUUUACAGGGCUGAUUUGUUCAGCUGGGGGAAGGAAGCUUGCAAAACCUGGUAGACAAUGUCUGUGAAUAUCUGAUAAUGGAGGCUGCUUUCUGGAGCAAACUCCUGGAUGUGGUAACUAUUUCAUAGCUUGUAGUGCAGCUGUAGCUUCAUGUUUUGUCCCAAAGAAUCACAGAACCAUAGAAUGGCCUGGGUUGCAAAGGAGCACAGUGCUCACCCAGCUCCAACCCCCUGCUGUGUGCAGGUCACCAACCAGCAGCCCAGGCUGCCCAGAGCCACAUCCAGCCUGGCCUUGAAUGCCUGCAGGGAUGGGGCAUCCACAGCCUCCUUGGGCAACCUGUGCCAGUGCCUCACCACCCUCUGGAGGAAAAACUUCCUCCUCAUAUCCAACCUAAACCUCCCCUGUCUCAGUAACUUGCUGAAGCAGAGAUGGCUCAGGAGCUGUUAUGUGCACACAUAUGAGCUUGUACAAGCUCAGAAGAGGAGCAGAGUGUUUAAAAUGUCUAUAGGAAGGAAAGAAGGCUGGGCAAAGUCUUAGGAAGGGAUCAAGCUACUUGCAGACAGGAAUUGACUUUCAAUGAAGCAUUGCAACUCAUUUUUUAAAUCGAGUCUUGAGUUUCUGUGUCACCUACACAGCUUCGAAUGGGUCAUCUGUGACUGCUAUCACAUUCUGCAGCAUUUACAGCCUGGGUGGAGGAAUUUACAAAGAAAAUGAGAUGCAGGCAAAAUGGAAACGAAGGAAAUGAACUGUACAGAAGUGUCAAGUGAAUUGUUUCAGAAAUUUCUUCCAUUUCACUGUGCCUUAUCUAAAAAUUUGUAUCAAAUGGAACCUGUAAGUAUUCAUAUUAUCUCUACUUUCAUCUGACAUGAAGCAGAUUAGCUAACGGUAGCAAAUUUAGUAUGCAGGAAAAUGGAUUUAAAUAACAAAAGUACUCAAAAGCCAUCACAGAAAACAUGCUGAGCACCAUUUUUACAAUCUCUGCUCCAAACCUGACCAUCAGAUAUGUUUAGAAUUGGUCCCACAGAGCUCCCUGCUCGGUGAUGGUGUAACCUGAGUGUGGGGUACAGAUCUGCACAACUGCAGGCUGCUCUCUGCCAGGAGCUGCUUUCACCCACGCUAUCACUGGUGGCUCUUGGUGCCUGCAGAAGCUCUGAGAGUAUUUGACUGAUAGAGGGGAUAAUAGGGAUUUUUAAAAUGCAGUAUGCAGGAUUUGGGCACUAACUCACAGAUGUGCUGAAGCUGGGACCUCUGUUCCUCCCAGAAUACCAAAACUGUAUUUCAAAGGUGCAACUUGGCCAUCGCUAAGCAAACAUAUUGCUCUCUUCUAAUACCUGAAAGGUGAUUGCAGGGAGAGUGGGGCUGGUCUCUUCUCACUGGUGACAGGUGACAGGAUGAGGGGAAGUGGCCUCAAGUUGUGCCAGGGCAAGUUUAGGUUGGAUAUCAGGAAAAACUUCUUUACAGAAAGGGUUGUUAAGCACUGGAAUAGGCUGCCCAGGGAGGUGGUUGGGUCACCUUCCCUGGGUGUGUUUAAAAACCAUUUGGAUGUGGUGCUCAGGGCCGUGAUUUAACAGUGGGUUGUUAGGGUAGUAUGGUUAGGUUGUGGUUAGACUUGAUGAUCUUUAAGGUCUGUUCCAACCUGAGCAAUUCUGUGAUUCUGUAUGCCAUAAGAGGGAGGUGCAGCUUUCCUGGGCAAGUACCAUAACUUCCUGCUCACCCCACAUCCCACUCACAUUUGCUCUGUGUUGGAUUUAUUCCUGUUUUCCAGACCAUGGCUGUCACUCUGUGCAUUUUGCUACUCGGCACCGCAAGUUUCUCGCAGCAGAACAAGAGUGUAUGUGAACACAUGGAGCAGUGAUUUGCAUUAAUUACUCCCGAAGUGGCUGCUUUUCCUGCUGUGAGAUGCACGCAGAUGCAUUCUGCACUCCCAGCAAUGCUGUGGCACUCUUUGAAGAUCCCCCGCUUCCUGUGGCACUGUCAGAUGUGUCAUGUCAGAGGGGAACAGCCCUUCAGAAGCUGCUAUGUUGGAAAGGCAAACAACAUAUGCUGGAAAUGCAAACGUGGUGUUGGAUUUAUUACAAGAGCUGCUGAUGAAAAUUACAUACAGAAUCAUAGAAUGGCUUGGGUUGGAAGGGACCCCGAGGAUCAUCAAGUUCUAACCCCCCUGCUGCUGGCAGAGCUGCCAACCUCUAGAUUUAGAGUGAAUCCCUGUGUAUCACGGGCUUGGUGAUGUUUAUGCAAUGGUGGUGAAAAUGUGAUAUCACGUUUUUUUUUAAUAGGGACUGAGAAGAUGGAAGCUACCAAGCGACUGAAAUGUCAGUGUUGCUCUGUAGAACUUGUUGUUUCAUUUGGAUUUUGGAGGGAGAAGGAAAAGCUGCUUUUCCCAUGGGAACAUUAAGCUGAGACUGGCUAUAGCACUCCCUGAACGACAGAAAUGAAGAUAAUGGCCUUGAAAAUGGGAUUUCAGUGUAAUGAGCUGCAGUAAGAGUGAUACAAGAGAUACUUAAGUGCUUGCUGGUGGUCCAGGAGCACUGCUGAGCAGUGGCACCAUGCGCUGAGCCAGCAGUGCAAGCAGUGUCUCUGCAGGAGGAUGGUUGGAGAAGAGCUGGGUCAGAAAUCAGCUUAGGUGCUGUAGAACCAUGGAAUGGUGCUGCUGCAAAACUGGUGACCUCAGCCUUCACUGUGUGGAGCAAGAUGUGCACGUGGAGAGCCCAGCUGCGGGGCUGCACAGACCUGCCCUGUGCUGGGAAAACGAUUCUGCAGAGCCACGAGCAAGGGAUGCUUCAGGUGCGUGCAAAGGAGAUGUGAGGAAGGGUUUGUGUAAAUGCCCAUGCUGUGCCCAACCAUGAGGGAUGCCCCCUUCCCUCCCAGCUGCUGAGUUACACUCAUCUAAUUUCCUUGCUGAGUGUGUCCAGGGCUGAAUUUCGCUCAUGCAGCUCUCUGAGCAGAAGUGCUGCCUGUUUGGCUGUUAAGUGCAGCCUGGCAAAUCUGGUCUCUGAGUAAUUAACGAAGUUUUUGACAAGCUGUGCCAACAGGAAGGCUCUGUAGAUUGGAUGCAAGCACCUUAAGGUCAAAUUCACUUUUGUCCCUGCAACCUUAAUGCUUCCCCAUACAUUUCCGUCCUGUGCAUUGAAUGGAAAAGAUAUCAUGUGAGCAUGUAAUUACAGACUGUAUUAUAGUGCAAUAAUUCCUCCACGAGACAGCUAAAGACUAACUGAGAGCUAAUCUAUCCAAAACCAAUAUCAUAGCUCCAGCACAGGCUGGACUAGGGCCAGAUGGGAGCCGGGAACAGCUUUUGUGACAUUGAUGAAUGCGGUGUAGCUGCCGAUGGAUGGAGAGCAGACAUCUCCUCGUAUCCUUCCAGACCAUUCCAGGGUUCAGUCCUGUGCCACAGUCCUGCCUGAAGGAAGAUGAGUCCAGGACAUACAACACCUGCAGGGUGCUCUGUACAAUGCCACAAAUCAUGCCAUACCUGUACCUGAUGCACAUGCAUCGGUCUGGGACAAAGUCAGUGGGAAAAAAGCAUCUGGUAAUGAACAAACUAAAGUUUAAACCAGCACUUUCAGUUCCAUCUGAAUCUUCAAGCUGCUGGUGGUUUGGCUGAGAUGUUAGCCAUCCCUAACCCAUGGGCUUGCUUUGCAGAGUAAGGAGUGCACAGCUGGAGCACAGGCAUUGCAGCAGCACCCAGCCCAUUUGGACUCGUGGUAGCACCCAAGGCUGCAAAGCAACCUCAUGUGGGAGUGUGCAGCAAGUCCAUGACCAAAAUGCUGCUGUGGUGUUGAAGUUCAGCACAUCUGGCCAGCUGCCUCAUGCCUGGAUCAUUGCAGGAAUGGGAGAGAUUCUACUAACAUGAGUGCCAGUGGAAAGCAUUCCCCCAAACCCAACAGGAAGGGCUGGAAGGGCAGUCUGAAGGUCAGUGCACACGGGUAACAUGAUAUCUAGGGUUGUUCUCCAAUGCAAUACUUGGAAGCUUGGAAAGCUUUGUGGAUGCUAUGGUAUCCAGCUGGUAUAAAGCUGGUGUGAACUCCAGCCCCCAGCAGUGCUGAUGGAGUGAUGAUGAGCAGAGCCAACAGCAGUGGCACUGUCUGCCACCUGGCCCCUUCCCAUCCAACUGCUGCUUACACCACCACAGUUACAGGGAGCUGGCCACAUAUCUAUCAUAUGCUGUGGAAAAGCAGAAGUGGGGAGAGGGUCCUCCAAACUGGCUUAACAAAAGAAAUCCUCACUUGGGAGUGGAUGGAUGAAGAUCAGAGCCAGACCAAUGACGUUUGUAACAACUUUUAAUUGGCAUGCAGCAAACAAAAUCCAAAGGCUGGGGAACUUACUUACCCACAACUCGUGUGCUGUUAGUGCUUGGUGCUUUCUGUCAAUGAAUCCUGCUAUGACUCGUGAAAUGGAGCACUGUGGGCACAGCAGCCAUUUUCCCCUGCCCCUCCAAGGAGCAUAUUCAGGAGGUGUCUUUAUCAUUUUACUUAGUGAUGCAUAAUAGAGGUCAGGAAGACAGCGCUAUUUUUUAUCUGGUGCAGUAAUUAGGUGAAAACUUAGUACUAGAAAUGGGCAAACAGAAUUAACCAGCUUAUUUAAUGGAAAACGAGUGACUUACAUAGCAGGGUAAAUAUAGUUCAGCGUGUAUUUGAAAGUUAAAUGAGAUGUGCAUUAGAACACGUUUCAGUUUUAAAAUAGUUCCACACUUAAAAUCAGUUGUACAGUCACUGUGGUUAAAUGCAUUCGGCAGGAUGGGGAAAAUGGGCAGCUUUGGGGCUAUGGUGGUGGUACUGUUUGAGUGAUGCCUGCCAGUGGAUUCACAGCCUGAAUGUGGCUGCAGGAGCAGGGCAGGGACAGGAGGAUGCUCAGGUUUUGGGGGUUGAUACCACUCUUUGGCACUGCAAGGGUAAAUGUGCCACAGCGCUGGAACCACGAGACAAGCUGGGGGGUUGAGUGUUGUCUGGGGCCUCACGAGCAGAUGCAUUAAUAUGAUUUCUUACCUACAAGUCCCUGCUUGUUUCUCUAAAAUAAGCAUUUAAUUAUUAUGCAAGAAAUCAGUCAUUCAUGAACAUCCUUAUGGAAUAAAACCAAAGGAUUUCCCCCUCUCCUCCCCUCUCUUUACAGGAUUAGUUUAUUUGUUGGACCAGAAUUAACUUAAUCCGGUAGAUGUCCUUCAACAAGUUAUAAACAAGAGCAACAUCUUUCCGCCAAUGGAUUUCAUUUAACUGGCUCUGAUAAUUUACGAGAUGUUUGCAGUUCUGAGUCCCUUACAGUAAUGACUUGUCCAAAUAAAUUAACAUGAAAAAAAUCCCUUGUUAACACCCAAAUAAACAAAUUCUUUUGUCAACAACAUCCCUGAAUAACUUGCAUUGACUUUAGUCAAAGUUUGUUAGAAUGAGAGACUUACUGUGAAGCACAGCUACUCCACCAUGAACCCAAGGCUGCUAAUUUCCAAGUUAAGUAACUGUUCUCAUUUUCAAAGACCUGUUACCGAGUUCUUUUUCAGCAAAAAUAGGCCAGAAGGAAGGAGGACGAAGCACAAGAGAUGCAUCAAAUUCAGGUUGGGUAUCACAGCAAUGUCUGCUUCAGAGAGCGGCCAGGCGCUGGCACAGCUGCCCAGGGUGGGCAGUCCCCGUCCAUGGAGGCAUUCAGAGCUGCAGGGAUGUGGCACUGAGGGAUGUGGGCUGUGGGACUGUGGGCUGGGUGGGGUUGGGGCUUUCAGGGUCUUUUCCAGCCUGAAUGGUUCUGUGAUUCUACGAUCCUGUGAAGAGGAGUGCAUCCCGCUGAGCCCCGCAGCCUCCUGUCUUCAGGGACACAUCCAGUUGCAAAUCUCACAGCAAUGCUGACUGACAAUAGGUGCUGGGAAUCCUGCGAAGCCCAGAGGUGCUGUGUAAGUGUGCUCCUCAGCCCAAGGCUGCAGCAGCUUGGAGCUGUGCAGGACCCAUCACCAGGCGGAUGUUUCCAGGUGCUUUUUCACCCUUUCUUCCUCCAGAGCUACUGAGGCAGCUCAGUCCACCCAGCAAUACCAGGUACUUCAUGCACACGAAAACAGAACAAACCAAUUUCAGUAAACUAUGUGAAACUCCUGGAGGAUCUUUUUGUUAGGAGUUGAGCAGGCUGUAAAUAACGGAGGCAUUAACAGUAAUUCACACCCCUGGGACAAGCCAUAGAGGAUUACAGCCGUGUGGAACCAUUUGCCUUGAGAAAAAUGACAAAAUUUCCAAGGACUGGAUGGCUUCUUGAGAGAAGAUUUGAAGCUCAGACUGCACUUGUCUUGAGCCUAUCCGCUAUCAAUUCCAGUUCGUACAAAGACAUUUACUCCUAUUAUUAUUAUAUCCCUGCCCUUUCUCGCCCUUGAAGUAUUGGCAUUGUGGCUCUGAAGACAGAUUCAAUUAACAAACCGGAUAGAUGCUGACCUUUCCGGGGUUGUUAUUCUAUCCUUGAUUUGCUUUAGGGGAGAAAUAUUUCUUUCUUGUAUAAAUAUGAAAUAACAAAUAAAUAACCAACAAUUGAUUUGUAGUUUCAAAAAAAAAGAGAGAGAGAGAGAGGAAGAGAGAGGAAAGAAAUGAACUAGUCAGGCAUGGACACUGGCAUUAGCUGAAGGGCUUCGGCACCUUGUGCAGGGAUUACUCACUGAGCUCGCCGCCAUCCAUCACGAUUACAGAGCUGUUGGGGGAUUUCUAGAGCAGCUUUUUUUUCUAGAGAAUUGGGUAACUGAGGCAGCAUAGCGCUUUGCACCUUUUUGUUACCACCGUGAUUGAUUUUCUGCAGCCCAAGAAGGAAAUCAGGAAAUUUUCUUUUUUGCUACUUUUUUCAUGUUACAAACCACUGUCCUGCGGCAUCGCGUGGGUUUGCUGGGGUGGGGAUCAGGGACAGGGUCAGGGUCAGCAGCACUGAUAGGUGUAGGGAUAGAAAUAGGGAUAGAAACAGAGACAGGGAUACAGACAGAGAUAAGGAUAGGGGUAGGGAUAGUGACAACGAUAGGGCUACAGAUAGGGACAGGGAUAGGGAUAGGGAUAGGGAUAGGGAUAGGGAUAGGGAUAGGGAUAGGGAUAGGGAUAGGGAUAGGGAUAGGGACAUGGACAUGGACAUGGACAUGACUAGGAUGUGAUGCUUUGGAGCAUCCCACUUCUGCUCUCCCCUGGACGAGGCUCUACUCUUCCCAGGGAAAAGUGAGCUUGGUUUCAGGGUGCUCACUGAGCGCCGUGAUGUUGGAAAUCCUCUUUUCUUGCAUUCAUGCAUGGCCAGGUCCAAUGUCCUGCUGCAAGGGCUUUGUGCUCACUUGUUUACCUUGGACAAGGCCAAUAAACCCACAGCUAGCUUGGCAAUGAUUGAAUGGUAUUCGAUAUUGACUCAGAUUUUCCUGGUGAAGAUUAAAUGGAGGUGGGCAAUGGGAACACAGCCUUCAUGGUGGGGGACGGAAGCACAUGUUUUCCUGUUUUAUGCUUCCAUCUAUAGCCACGAGCAAAUAAAAAUUUUGUAUCUUACAUAAAAAUUACCUCCUGCUCAACAAACAGAUCAAGGCACAAAUUUGCCUCAUUUAUAUUCACAUUCCAAAAAAAUGAUAGUUUUAUACUUCAAAACAGCUUUCUUUCCCUCUCUCCUUCUCUCCCCACAUGCACACACUUGGGACAAGAUCAAACAGCUCUUUAUUUUUCUCUAACAAUAAUGUAAUUAUUAUACAGUGUUAAUUGUAGAGAAAUCUGAGGACAACUCAGCAUGUAAAAAUUCUAAUUAAUGUUUUUAUAAUACUAAUUAUUUUAUAAUUAUAAUUAUGUAUAAUUAUCAUCCUUAUUUUAGUAAUUCCAUGCUCUCAUGCUACAAGUAUUACACUUAACCUUUUCAAUACUGGUCCUAACUGUUGCUUUUUCUCAGGCUAAUCUGCUAUUCCAUGGGUUGUGCCACUGUGGGACAUCCUUGUUGCUGGUUUGUACUAUUGCUGCUGAAGUCACUUGAAUUCUUGAGUUUGGGUUCAUCUCCAUUUUUGUUGGCCAUCAGGGUGCUGCCUGCCCUGCCUCACCCACAAGGGGACAACUGACACCUGCAGGCAGGUUAUCUUGAUGGAAACUAAGGCCAAAAGUGCACAGCAAACCACGGCAAGGAAUUUGUAUGGUAGCCCCAUGUAUUUUCUGUACUUGUCUAUGCAGUGGUACUUGUUCAUUUAAGGUCAUCUACAUUCAGCAGGAUGCUGGACAAGAAGUGCUGACAUCCGCUGCCACCCCUUAGUGUUCUUACAGUAUAGUGCACGGUGAGCAAGGCUCAUUCAUCACCCUUCUUUGCCUUGAAUUCUUUCCAAUUCUGUCUUUCCUUCCCUGUUCAUUUUUCUAUCUGAUCUAUCAAGUAACAAAAUCCCACCCCCAUUUACACGGAGCCUGGCAGUUCCUCUACUCAGAACCUUAUGAACCCACUGCUCUGUUUCUGGUCCUACCCAGCCCUCCUGGUGCCUGCAUCAUUGCUUGGAAUUAACAGGCAACAGUCUUCUGACAGUUGAACACAGAAAAAAUUGUUUUCAAUUAUGAAUGCUCAGAAUUCUACAAAAAAAGAGAAAGAGAUCAAACGUUUUCUUAACUCCUUGACAUCUUUGAAUACGUGUUAGACAAGGGAAAAGAUCAGUGCUCCUGGUAACUCAUAAAAACCUUUCCUUUCUGGUGGCAGAAUUUGUAAAAUUUGAGUAUCUCCUCUAGCCUUAACCUUAGGUCAUCCACUAAACUCAGAGAAGUCUUUGCUGGAACAAUAGAAGGCAUUGGGUGUUUCAGGUGCUGUCUUUUGUGUACCACUACAUUAUUUGCUUGCAUAAAGGCACUCCUCUCCAAAGUGAGAUAAACUGUUUUGUUGCUUCCAUGUGAAGCACGUGAACUGCUCACCCACCUUCUGACUGACAUUGGAAAGGCAAUGGUCUCCUCUGAACAGCACUAUCUUGCCUGCUGGAUCCUUCUGCCCCCGUGCAGAGCUGGGCUGGAGCAGACACUGGGGCCAACUGCAGUCCACUGAAUGCAACUGAGAUGGAUCCACCAAAGGAAGAGUUCCUGCAGCACUGAUGGACACCCACCAUGCCCACCACCACAAAAAGCCAUGAGGCAGAGUCUUGAGCCUCAUUCUAAUAUCAUGCAUGCUGCAGUCAACGAACAAAAAGGCAAACAAAGACUGAAUUUACACCAGCAAGUCACAAUAAGCCGUGCACUGGCAAAAUAUUUAAUCGUGCUGAAGUUGGAGGCCGGAUCCUCCCACGUGGCUUUAUUUUGGCAUUGCAAACUGCAUAUCUUCUAAAGAUUAAUAUUAUUAUAUAUGAUGCUGUAGCAAUAUAUAUGAUUGCUUGCAGCAACACAUUAUGAAGCAUUAAAGCAGAAGAGGAUUUAAGCAGACAUUUAAAUGGAGGUGACUCUAAAUGCUCGGCUUCUCCAGGAGCACUGGCAAAACCUCACACUGAGGACUAGUUCUAAUUUGUGGAGGAUGUGGAAGAGAAGUGAGAAGAAAGAAAGCUGUUGCUGCUGUUUGGCAGCUUGAUGUUUUGGGUUUUUUUUUCGUGAUGUUUUCUUCUUUGCUUUAGGCAAAUGAAAGGAGAGAAGUUUAUGAAAGAAGAUAAAGAAUGGGGUACUGGGAGACAAAAGACUCAUCGCCUUGCAGGAAAGAGAUGAAUACAGGAAAAGAAGAAGAGAUGGAUUGAAGCUCGUUUUGAAGGCAGAAGGAGCCAUCCCCAGGUCAGCUUCCUGUACUUCCAAUGACAUUUAUUGAAGUCAACAGAGAUUUCACUUUUGACAAUCAGCCUGAAUGUGUCCUCCCAACUGGAAGGGCUUUUUUCACCUUGAUGAUCCUUGAGGUUCCUUCCAACCCAAGCCAGUCCAUGAUUCUGUGAUUCACCGACUGCAUCACAUCCCAUAAAGUAUCUCAAUGCAGAGCUGAAGCAACUCCCCUUCAUCUUGAUGGCACAGCAGAAGAUAUUCACAAGGAUGCCAGGACAUAUUCUUCUGGUUUAAGUGGAGAAACAUUGGCACUGGGUGUCACUGGAGCAAGAUCCUGAAGACUGGGGAGACUUCUGGAAAGGAGGUUGUGAGCAUCACUGUCAUGGCAAGGGGUUAGUAUAAAUAAAAUAGAGGAGGCAGGGAGAACACUGAGUGCAUGCGUUCUUUAACUAGUAGUACAUCAUCAGUGCAUCAACUUCAUCCAUUUUUAAAUGGGAUGUCUGCCUCGUACAAUGAAGUGAAUGUAUCUUAUGUUCUUAUUGUGACUCUUAAUUCUUGGGAUCCAGAGGCCUGUGGCUACUGAACUCUCAUUUGUAUAUCACCUCACCGUUACUGUCUGGAUUUUAGCUGUUACCCUCAGUGUUUUAUUCCCAUGAUCCCAGAAGCUCUCUCUCUCUUCAAACAGAUCUUAAUUUUCUGAAGUGUGUUUAUUAUUCAGCUGAACUUCUCUGAGCAGAUCACACUGAGAAAGAGAACUGCACGAGGCUGUUUCUGCUGCUUGCUGCUUUGAGACUCAACUUGCACUGAAAUGGUUAAAUUCAGCACUUCAUUUUUGCAAGUGCUCUCUUGAAUUAUUUUGGCUUUUGUGAAAUUUUCUUCCCUUAGCUUCAGUUGCUGGAAUAUCUAAAAAACACUUAAACAAGCAUAAAAGAAAUCCAUGGAUAUUAACCUGUUGGAUGUUACCUAAUGAGCCCAUAUGCUGUACUGUCAUUCAUUCACUGUGACAGAAGGAUGACAUGGAAAUGCUGUCAUAUAUCUGUGUUGUUUAAUGCAGACACAGUGUAACUCAUUAUUUUAUGCAGCAAACCAAAGUCUCUAAUGCCUAUGAGGAUGCUAUAGAAACUGCUUUUCAGAAACAGAACAAAAUCUACCUUUCCUGUGUGCGUAUGAAAAAAGGGAGGACUGCACAAGGAGCCCAAAUUGUAUGAAGCUGAGUGACAGAAUUCUCUGUGGCUGCUAACAGAAAUCCCACCUUGUCUGUGAAAGCUGAAAGAACUGCAUAUUUUUCCAACUGUGACCCCAAAAUAGGUAUUAAUGCAGCUGCUACAUUCUAAAUACCUCUGUAACAGUUUUUUCAGAUUGUUCUUCCCAUUCAUUUACAACAGGCUGAAUGGAAAUGGAGAGGAAAACAAGUGCUAACCUCAUAGAGCAGUUGUGGAUGGGUGGGUAGCAGCCCAAGGGCAGCAUUUGCUUUAGGUCCUCCUCAUGGAAUUAGGGUUAUUAUUGUGAUUUACUGAGAAACAUAUGUGCAAGUAUACACCAAAACUGCAGAAAAUAGAAUUUUAGAAGCUUAUUCAGCAGUGGAUUUCAGGAUACAGAUGUUGGAUAUAAUAUACUUGCACUAAAUCGGAUUCUGGGUGAAUAAAGGAGCUGAUGUUAAAUUCAGCUUGGAGCCCUGCUCAGCACUCAGUUUGAAAUACACAGCCUUUUUGUUUCGCUUUUGCAACUUAUUCAAUAAAUAUUUUGGCAUGCCUGUCUGUUACGCUGCCUUAAUCUUCUCUUCAACUGAGCCGAAAUUAGCAUUUGUAAUUUAUUCUCCAAGGGAAACUAAAAAGGCUCUGCACCAGGGUGAAAUGUAAUGCCCAACAGAUAACUGGAGAGCUGAGUCAGCGCAAUGUGUUUGACAAAUUUGCUCAUUGCCUGCACCUCAUUGAAUGGGAGACGUGGCACAGGGGGGGGCAAGCUUUUAUCUGUGUCUCACUGGAGCGAUGCAGGGCUGUGAUGGCUGGCUGCGCUGUGCCACCAUCCCCUCUUCAGGACCCAUAACACAAAUGGCUGUGCCAUUCAACUCAGGUCAUUACAAGAAAAUCACAAGAUGCCCAUUCUGCAUUGUAAACAGCAGAUAGACAGUUUUUCAGUUAUCUUACUGAGAAAUGAAGUCUCUCAUCAGCUUGAUUGUUUUCCCCUCAAUCCAACCCCAUGCAGGUAAAUAAAUUAACCCUAAAAAAGAAAAACAACCCAAAUACCCCCUCACCAGAUUUCAAUGACUAAACCGCAGGUUCACGUUCAGGAUGACUUGUAUAUCUCAUUAUUAGAAUUCUUGUAUGUCUUGUUAUUAGAAUUCAGGUGGGAAAAGGCUCCUGAGAGACGACCCACCCCACUGUGCCCACAUCCCUCAGUGCCACAUCCCCAUGGCUUUGAACACCUCCAUGGAUGGGGACUGCCCACCCUAGGGCAGCUGUGCCAGCGGCUGGCUGCUCUCUGGAGCAGACAUUGCUGUGAUACCAACCUGACCCACUCAUCUUAGUGCCAGGGCAGAGGCUGACCCCCACCUCACUACAUGCUUCUUUCAGGGAGUUGGAGAGGUCACAUCCUGCAGUGAAUAAGGAGCAGUUUCAGCCAUGAGCUUCACCCCUCUCCUCUAAGAGAUGAGUUUUUGGCACUGGGUACUGUUUUGGCGGGGGCCUUUUGCACCUAUUUCUUCUUUUGAAUCUCCUUGAAUGAUUUUGGGCAUUGCUAUGAUGCAGGCCAAGUCAACAGACGUAGUUAUGACAAUUAGGGCUGUGCUGAGAAACAGGCACAAGGAGUGUGGUUUAUGAGUGGUAAUGUCAUUGAUUUUUGCCUUCUCAAUGAGCUAGCCAGCACUCCACAUAGAAAAUUUAUAAUCAGAAGCAUCCCUCUCUAUUGGCACGUGGACACGGCCUGACUUUCAGUGCAGCAGCAUUUGAUCGAUUUAGCGAUAUGCCAUACGUGUUGGUGAGCAAUGGGUCUCAUUCUGCCAUCCCUGGAGCAGGAAGCAUUUCCACCACAAAAGCAGAUAUCAGAGUUCUUCAUUGCACCAUUACCUGCUUGCUGGAGAAAGGAGGCAUGAAGCUGUUCCCCCUCCUGUUCCACCUGCACUCAUGUUUGCAGCACAGUCACAGAGCGCCCAAUGCUUGCUGAGAAACAAAGUAAGAAAAAAAAGACUCUAGAAUGUGCAACUAUUACUCUGAGUAAGAAAAUUAAGGAAAGAAAAACUACCAUAGGUUGACAGUGUGCCAGGGUACGGGGGGCAGACAAGUACUUACUCUUUCCAGCGUGAAUUGCUUUGGUUUUUCUUCCUUUUCAGUUCAUUAUAGCCAUAACUUUAUUUAAAUGUAGCUUUUCUUUCCAGUGUGGCUGUGGUAAUUUCUUAGAGAACAUAUUUUAAUGGCCUGGCUAUACGCUCAGGAUUUCUGUUUGCUUCUGUAAUUGCUUCUUAAUUAUUUUCCAAUUGCUGAAACAACAGUUUCCACAGUUUAUUAAAAAGCGUUUUUGAAAGCUUUACCCUAAGGCAUUGUCAACAUUUUAUUACUAUCACUAACAGUCAGCACAAAUGAAUAAUCACCAGCACUGGUAGCUCAUGUCAAGCAGACAAGAAUGGCAGAGUCCUACGUAGAAAUAAGAUGACAUAGGAAUUAGGAUGAGCUUACUGUGUUUCCAGGUUGGAGUGGAGCAGCCACUUUAAAUCCCAUGGCAUCUCUUUCAGGUGUAACGUCACCAAUGGAGAUAACAUCACUGCAUUUGGAAGGAGAAAUAGUCUCAGAAAUUAAAAACAAAAGAAAUACAGCUACUGUUUAAGCCACUUCUUUCCCCCCCCCCUCACCCUUAUUUAUUGUAAGGAAAAACUGACCUGGUCCACGUGGUUAUAACAACCUGGAAUACCAACUCCUGCAUCAAUAAAAACCAGGAAUGUACACGAUGUAAAAUUUAGUAUUUCCACACCUCAUCCCGAUUGUAUUCGGUGAAAGAGCAAUGAGGUGCUGGAAUGGGCUGCCGUGGGAGCAGUGGAGUCCCCAUCUCUGGGAAGAGUUUAAUGUGGUACUACAGGAUGUGGCUUAGGGGAGAAUAUUGGCGGUAGGUGGAUGGUUGGACUGGAUGAUCUUGGAGGUAUUUUCCAACCUUGAUGAUUCUUUCAAGAACAAAGGUUUAGAGACAUUAGUAGAGCUAGCAUGGCUUUAUUCUCAGCUACAUGAUGUUUCAGUCAAGCCUUGCAUAAUUCAGGCUCCCCCAUCUGCACUGUAACAACAGCCUAGCAGCCUGCUUCCCUCGCCAUGUGCAGGUGUUUUCCUGCCAGGAAUGGAACCAAGAUUUGCCCCCAGAGCAGUGAGCUGCUGCCCAACACAGUGCAGCAUCUCCCCACCCCCAUCACUGCCCCUGUGCCACCCCUUCCUACCACUAAUUCACGCCAUCUCCUUGAAGGACAGAAAUCCUCAGUUCUCACUCCUUCUCAAACCUAAAUAUACAAAAUAGCCAGGAAUUAGGAGGAAAUUUUAGGACGGAGGAUUCAGGGUGGAA